ensembl:lncRNA
CAGAUCAAUGUGGAGCUAUAAACAGGGAGUACCAGUACCAGAUCAAUGUGGAGCUAUAAAGAGGGAGUACCAGUACCAGAUCAAUGUGGAGCUAUAAACAGGGAGUACCAGUACCAGAUCAAUGUGGAGCUAUAAACAGGGAGUACCAGAUCAAUGUGGAGCUAUAAAUAGGGAGUACCAGUACCAGAUCAAUGUGGAGCUAUAUACAGGGAGUACCAGUACAAGAUCAAUGUGGAGCUAUAUACAGGGAGUACCAGUACCAGAUCAAUGUGGAGCUAUAAACAGGGAGUACCAGAUCAAUGUGGAGCUAUAAACAGGGAGUACCAGUACCAGAUCAAUGUGGAGCUAUAUACAGGGAGUACCAGUACCAGAUCAAUGUGGAGCUAUAAACAGG